GGGGACGAUCUGGAUUCGACGCCGGUGACGAAACCAAAGGUGCAUGUCGAGAGGGUAGUGACUCUCGUAAAACAAUCGCUGUAACUUUAUAGUUGCCAACGACGAAAACUACGCUCUAGCGGCCUAAACCCUGCUAGCAGUCACCAUUGGAUGCUUGUAAACGAGAAGUGACUGUCAUAUAGAACAAGCUAGUCUGCGGGUAUGUUCAGGGCCAACAGGCAAAACUUUACUGAGCUCGUCUCUUAUCGCCCUGCCCGCUGGGCCGCGAGAGAUCAAAUUAAUAGGCGGAUCUAAGCAUGUAGAGCCGAUGGCAGAGUGCUGACGGACGCGGGUUCAACUCCCGCCGUCUCCACCA
rnacentral:tmRNA from 1 species